rnacentral:misc_RNA from 1 species
GAAAUGCGAUAAGUAAUGUGAAUUGCAGAAUUCAGUGAAUCAUCGAAUCUUUGAACGCACCUUGCGCUCCUUGGUAUUCCUUGGGGCAUGCCUGUUUGAGUAUCAUGAAAUCUUCAAAGUAAAUCUUUUGUUAACUCAAUUGGUUUCUACUUUGGUAUUGGAGGUCUUUGCAGCUUCACACCUGCUCCUCUUUGUUCAUUAGCUGGAUCUCAGUGUUAUGCUUGGUUCCACUCGGCGUGAUAAGUUAUCUAUCGCUGAGGACACUGUAAAAGGUGGUCAAGGUAAAUUCAGAUGAACCGCUUCUAAUAGUCCAUUGACUUGGACAAUACUUUUAUGAUCUGAUCUCAAAUCAGGUAGGACUACCCGCUGAACUUAAGC